rnacentral:rRNA from 1 species
UACGAAGGGGGCGAGCGUUGUUCGGAAUUACUGGGCGUAAAGUGUGCGCAGGCGGCAGAGCAAGUCGAGUGUGAAAGCCCCGGGCUUAACUUGGGAAUUGCGCUCGAAACUACUUUGCUGGAGUGUGGCAGAGGAAGGUGGAAUUCCACGUGUAGCGGUGAAAUGCGUAGAGAUGUGGAGGAACACCAAUGGCGAAGGCAGCCUUCUGGGCCAACACUGACGCUCAUGCACGAAAGCGUGGGGAGCAAACAGG